rnacentral:tRNA from 1 species
GGCCCCGUGGCCUAGCCUGGAAGGGCGGCGAUACCGGGGCCUCAUAAGCCGCAGGUCCCGGGUUCAAAUCCCGGCGGGGCCGCCA